UUGGUGUAUUUUUUGGGGUUUUUUUGGGAUUUUUUGGGAUUUUUUUGUGAUUUUUUGGGGUUUUUUUGGGAUUUUUUUGGUGUAUUUUUGGGGGGUUUUUUUGGGGAUUUUUUUGUGUUUUUGGAGGUUUUUUUGGGGGGGGUUUUGGGGUUUUUGGGGUGUUCCAGGAGGGUGAGCCUGGCUGACAUCAGCCUGGUGUGCGCCCUGCUCUGCCUCUACAAACAGGUGCUGGACCCCGCGUUCCGGGGCCCCUUUGGGAACGUGAAUCGCUGGUUCCUGACGUGCCUGAACCAGCCCCAGUUCAAAGCCGUGCUGGGAGAGGUGACCCUGUGCCAGAGGAUGGCCCAGUUCGACGGUGAGUGACACCUGGGGACACCUGGGACACACCUGGGACACACCUGGGACACACCUGGGGACACCUGGGGACACCCAAAACACACCUGGGACACACUUGGGGACACCCAAAACACACCUGGGGACACCUGGGGACACCCAAAACACACCUGGGGACACCCAAAACACACCUGGGGACACCUGGGACACACCUGGGGACACCUGGGGACACACCCAGUUCACAGCUGUGCUGGGAGAGGUGACCCUGUGCCAGAGGAUGGCCCAGUUCGACGGUGAGUGACACCUGGGGACACCUGGGGACACCUGGGGACACCCAAAACACACCUGGGACACACCUGGGGACACCCAAAAUACACCUGGGGACACCUGGGGUCACCCAAAACACACCUGGGGACACCUGGGGACACACCUGGGGACACCUGGGACACACCUGGGGACACCUGGGGACACACCCAGUUCAAAGCCGUGCUGGGAGAGGUGACCCUGUGCCAGAGGAUGGCCCAGUUCGACGCCAAGAAAUUUGCGGAGAGCCAGGCCCGGAAGGAGAAGGAGCCCCCCAAGAAGGAGAAGGAGCCCCCCAAGAAGGAGAAGCCCCCCAAGAGGGAGGAGAAGCGGCCGGAGCCCGACGAGGACCUGGAUGAGUGCGAGCAGGUCCUGGCAGCUGAGCCCAAAGCCAAGGAUCCCUUCGCACACCUGCCCAAGAGGUGGGGACACGCCUGGGGACACCUGGGGACAGCUGGGGACACCUGGGGAUACACCUGGGGGGGUCUGGGGACACCUGGGGACAGCUGGGGACACACCUGGGGACACACCUGGACACACCUGGACACAGCUGGGGACACCUGGGGA
rnacentral:lncRNA from 1 species